GACGAGCGCUGGCGGCGUGCCUAACACAUGCAAGUCGAACGAAGUGGCGGACGGGUGAGUAAUGUAUGAGCAACCUGCCUUCAAGAGGGGAAUAACAGUCGGAAACGACUGCUAAUACCGCAUACUUGAAGAUGGGCUCAUAUCUGAUUAGAUAGUUGGUGAGGUAACGGCUCACCAAGUCGCGAUCAGUAGCCGGACUGAGAGGUUGAACGGCCACAUUGGAACUGAGAUACGGUCCAGACUCCUACGGGAGGCAGCAGUGGGGAAUAUUGGGCAAUGGGCGAAAGCCUGACCCAGCAACGCCGCGUGAAGGAAGAAGGUCUUCGGAUUGUAAACUUUUGUCUUAUGGGACGCGGUACCAUAGGAGGAAGCCACGACUAACUACGUGCCAGCAGUCGCGGUAAUACGUAGGUGGCGAGCGUUAUCCGGAUUUAUUGGGCGUAAAGGGAACGCAGGCGGUCUUUUAAGUCUGAUGUGAAAGCCUUCGGCUUAACCUGAGUAGUGCAUUGGAAACUGGGAGACUUGAGUGCAGAAGAGGAGAGUGGAACUCCAUGUGUAGCGGUGAAAUGCAUAGAUAUCGGGAGGAACACCAGUGGCGAAGGCGGCUUGCUGGGCUUUUACUGACGCUGAGGCACGAAAGUGUGGGGAGCAAACAGGAUUAGAUACCCUGGUAGUCCACACCGUAAACGAUGAUUACUAGGUGUAGGCCUGUGCCGCAGUUAACACAAUAAGUAAUCCACCUGGGGAGUACGGCCGCAAGGUUGCAACUCAAA
rnacentral:rRNA from 1 species